UCUCGUUCAAACAGUGCAAACCCAACCUCUUAAGCACCUUCUGUAGUUCCUUAACUACGCCAAAAAGAAUAAACUUCUUAAAAUAAAC
rnacentral:sRNA from 1 species